UACGUAGGGUGCAAGCGUUGUCCGGAAUUAUUGGGCGUAAAGAGCUCGUAGGCGGUUCGUCGCGUCGGCUGUGAAAACCCGGAGCUCAACUCCGGGCCUACAGUCGAUACGGGCGGACUUGAGUGUUGCAGGGGAGACUGGAAUUCCUGGUGUAGCGGUGAAAUGCGCAGAUAUCAGGAGGAACACCGGUGGCGAAGGCGGGUCUCUGGGCCGUAACUGACGCUGAGGAGCGAAAGCGUGGGGAGCGAACAGG
rnacentral:rRNA from 1 species